GCUGUUUCCAAUCGACCCUCGGCUCAGUGAAGGAAAGGGAAAACAAAAACAAAAACAAAAACAAAAGAGCAUUAAUGACUCCAGCAGAAAUAGCGUAUAUAAUUAUCUAAACAUAAGAACCAUAAAUAAAAUAACAUGCAAUAAUAUCAGACAGUAACUACCAUUAAUAACUACCAUAAGGGAGACACAAUCCAAUACACAAAUCAUCUAUGGAUAGCCCUGCCAAGCCUCACCCAACCCCGGGUGAGGAGUACGGAAAACUCUAGGGACCCCUAUCCUACAACCCUGAUACUAGACCUCUAGGCUUUCCUAUCAAGGGC
rnacentral:lncRNA from 1 species